CCCCGCUCUUGCCCCGACUCCUUGGUGCUCCCUUCUUUUCCAAACAUCCAGGUGUUAAUCACCAGCAACUGGGGGAAAAGCCCUAACAGCCCCAUUUAACUUGGAAGGAAGAAAUCAACCUGGAUUCAUUAUUUUCAAGUGAUGGAAGGUGGGGCAGAAUCCCUCAUUGUGAUGCAGCAUUCCCAGGGCUGGGAGCCGCCAGCUCUCCCCAGGGCCUUUUCCCACAGCCGGGAAAAGACUGGGGGCUCAAAAAGAACCAUUUUGCUUUUCCAGCCGGACAAAACCAGCUCUGAGGCACACCAGGCACUGCACUCCUCAUUUUCCACCUUCUCUAACGAGGAAAGGUCUGUGACCACCGCGGGCUCAUCAGGAUACAAGAGCAGGUUUUUACUUUGGGGCCAACAAAGACGAGGAGGAAACCAGGAUAAUGGAAAUGGUGUUUGUGCCUGCAGGGAUAAACAGGAAUUUUCUUAACCAGAUUGGAACCUCCAGCAGCGAUGAACACGGAGCCUGCCGCCGCCAGCGUGGCUUCUCCUUGGAGCACCUGAUUCAAAGCCUCCUGAAGUCACUGGGAGCUUUUCCAGUGGAUCUCAAGUCAAGAAUCUUCGAGGCUGGUGCUGGCUUUGAUGGGCUUCGAGUGUGGCACACGAGGCACAAUGGGCUCCUUGUUCCUCUCCAGCUCCCCGGGAGCUGUGCUGAGCCACGCUGAAAUCAUCCCAAAUAAAUGCAGAUUAAACCCUUGUCGUUAUUUUUGG
rnacentral:lncRNA from 1 species